CGAUAUCUGUGCAGAUACGCGUGUUGGAGAUGCUUCAAGACCAGGAAUAUCUGGUGGCCAAAAGAGAAGAUUAACUACAGGGGAGAUGAUCGUAGGUCCAAUAAAAACUCUGUUCAUGGAUG